CAUCGCUCGUCAUAUAAAUUGUAUUGUCAAGGCGCCAGUCGUUGGAUGGUAGAGUGUCUUGUUUUAUUAUAAAAAGUUCAUUCCCAUAAAUAAUUUGUAAAUACUUUUGAACUGUUGUUUAUUAUACACAAUUAGUUCUAUUCUAGUGUUUCUUUGUAAAUACAAGGCUCUAACAUCCAAUCAAGGAUGAAGAUCGUGUUACUCUUAGCGAUGUUGUUGGUGGCGACGUCGGCCCAGAAUGAAUACGACUGGACCAACAACACACUGUAUGGAUACGAUUUCAUAAAGUGCUUGAUGUACAGAUCCUGUAGACCCUGGAGCGGAAGUAACUUUACCGAAAACUACUUCGCAACAAUACCAGGUGAUCAAUCCGGCUGGAACUCAACGCGUGGUGCCUGACAAAUGUUUAAUUGACUAAAUGAUUUAUUUUAUUUUUCUUUUGAAUUCUAGUUUUGAGUCGUUUAAUGAUUUAAUAUGGUACCGUAUUCUAAAUUUUAAAAAGUUUCUUAUUUUAAGUUACUGUCAACAAAAUUACUUAGUCCUUAGUGGUAAAAAAAACGAUUAGUCUCUAUUUUGGCAAUUCUAUUAUGAUACAACAAUAAAUAAAUGUUAGAAUU